UGGGCAUACUAUUGGUGUUGAUUAUUCUUAAUUGGUCACAGUGGUUCAGUAGCACUGAGAACACACAACCACUCUAUUAGCAAAAGAUUGCUGCAGGGUGAUGAUGGGAUGGGCCCAAUAAUUGUUAGAUGAGAGACUUAAUGAUGGCUUCACUCUUACUUUGAACGGUGGGUUUGACUUAACUAAGGAGUGUAGCCAAUAUCUAUUAGGUGAGCCUAUAUGACUUAGAGACCAAAUCGCUGCAAUAUGCUUAGAGAAGUAUUGGACAAGAGUUGUCCACUCAUCAGUAUGCUAUUAGAAAACCUGAUAGGAUGCAUGCAUGAUUUCAAAAAUCCUUUUGAAGAGCAGCAAAAAUAAAUCGGGUUAAAUUCUUUAACCCCACAUGCAUUAGAUCUCAUCUAAUCCUACCUGAGCCCAGAAAUAAAG
rnacentral:lncRNA from 1 species